GAUGUAGAGGAGACCCCGCAGAGUAAAGCCACGGGCUGGUCAGACGACGAACAGGAGCUGUGUGAAGGUUGUUUACGCUGUUGAAGACAUGGACGUAUAAAGAAAUGACUUGUCUCUCUAUCAGAAUUUGAUCCAUUUGGUCCGAUCACAUUUCAAAAGCCUAGAGGAGCCGCACGAUUGAAUUGUUUCAUCCCCAUUCAAGUUAGCCGGAGGCCUAAACCGGAAGUAGUCGACUCGGCCGGCGACCGUUACUAGUGCGCAUGCUCUAUGGGCCGCAUGAACGGGGCCCCGCCGCCGACGCUGUAUCCAAUUCUCUUUGUACAUCCAUGGAUGAAGACUGUUUAUGUUCGUUGUGUUGAUGGAUGCAGAGUUUUACCGACGGGUAACGGACAUAAUAGCCACAUGCAGAAGACGGAGGACCAGGAAACAGUCCUUGGACUCUAUGGACGAGUUGAUGUCUCCCGCUCAGCUUUCACUUCGUCUGGACUUGUCGCCCGCCAGCCUGUAACCUCACUCAUCAUUCCUCUCGUCACGCAUCGUCCAUGCUUCAACUCAGGGAUUUCCCAAGCUGACGUCAGUUCAUGACGGAUUUCUUUAUAUGGACAUCUGCUACAUGCACAACACACAAGUUUGUGUAAACAAAACCACAUAGAGAACCAAGAAACCCACUUUUUAUUAAAUUUAAAGGCUCUAAAAUUUAAAGAUUAGGUUGAAUUUAAAACGGUUCAAAUCAUGUACAAAGUUAAAAAUCAAUUGUUACCUAAAAGUAUCCAAAAGUUGUUUCAAAUGAGAGAAAGUCAACAUGACUUGUGCAAUAAAUGAUAAGUGAGGACUAAUGUAAAAUAUCAUUGUAUUACAGUCAAAGGAGUUAAUUUAUGGAACAGCUGCAGUGAGGAACUGAAAACAUGCAGAACAUUUAGUAAGUUUAAAUGAACAUUUAAAAAUAGCAUAUUAAACAAAUAUGACAUGGACAAUCAGAAAGAGACUGGCAUAGAAGGACAGGGGAAGUUGUUAUUGGUUUGUUUUGUUGUCUUAAUAUCUUGUGAUCAAGUCACUGUCCACAUACUGGGCCACACCCCCUCCCCUGUUGUUGGUUCUAUUGAUAUAAAGAAACCGUCAAUAUGGAAAUCAAUACCUUUCUUUUGAUUUAACCAUGUCUCAGAUAAGGCUAUUGAAUUGAAUUUAAGUUUAAAUAUAUUCAGAUUUUCAUUGAUCUUAGUGAAGUUUGCAUAAAGACUUCUACAGUUGACACACUGCUGACCGACCUUCCUUCUUGUUGCUAGCCUUGAGUCAGGUGGUAUGUAUUGAGACAGUAUGUCCCAAUGACCCGCCUGAUGGCGUGCAAUGACCAAUUGGACAGCGCGUGCUACCCAGCUGAUAGUGCCGAUUAGACAAAUUCAAUCAUCUCUCUUAAAUCAGAAGUAAGAAGAAACUUUGGAAAGAAGUGAAGAUCUAAGGCGGGGAAACUGGUAUCAUUAAUAUUAAUGUGUUGGUCAGUUGUACCACCAUGGAUAAUCCCAGAACCUGAAGUCAAUCUAUGCAUACUGAAUAAUAACAAAAGAUAGAAAUCAGGAGAUAUAGUCAAGGAAGUGAAGUCUCAUCUGCAACAAGGAUGGAGUUCAUAUUUACAGAAUACAGAUGGAUCAAAGGAUCCAGAGAGCGGGAAAGUGGCAUUUGGAGUCAUUAAGAAUUCAAAACAGACAUAUCAGAUGUCAGUAUUCACAGCAGAGAUGUUGACAAUAUUAAUGUGCGCUUUGGUGGAUAAAGAACAAUAAACCAGACAACUCAGUCAUAUGUAGUGAUUCAGCUGCAGCUUUAACUACAAUAAGAGAAAUCAAAUCCAACUUCAGACCUGAUAUAUUGGCUGAGAUUUAUCAAACAUUAUACUGUACCAGAACACAGACUAUAGUUUAUGUCAUUUCACUAUUCUGUCUGGUUCAUGGAUGAUGUAAUUCCUGUCCUAUAAAGUACAUGAAUGUAGUGAUCUAUGUAGAAAACUUCAGGUAUUUAACAGGUGCUGCACUAAGGCAUCAGAGGCCACAAACUUUUAAUAAUUCCCAAAAAUAUAAAACACACUGGCAUGUGGCAUGAAUCCCUCAGCGCCCCCGAACCCCCCAUUACGUCAUUUGGGAAUUCCCAUUGACAUGAGUAUGGGAUUUCUUUCUUUUUCCAGUCCCUUAGUCCCUCUAAUCAGUUGAGACGAGGGUAACUACACAGAUUCUUCCGCUUCAGUCUUUCAUAACAAAAAUAUGAAAACUGCCUAAAUUUUGCAUUUUGUAGUCAUGGAAACUGGAUUUUUCUGGUUCAAAAACCCAUAAUAGGGAAAAAACCACAGAAUGAUAGUUUAGGGAGAACAGUAAACAGUGAAUGGCUGUAUUUGUAUUUUUAAAAUGUUGUUACAUACAUCAAUAACUUUAAAAAGCUCCGUUUUUCAUUGUUAGACUUUAGUUUCAGAAUAAGGAAAUCGAUUUGAGACGAAGGUACAAGGAUUCUUUCAUCCAGUGCAAUAAUUACUCACUUCAAAUAAUGAAGCUGUUCAGACACAUGGACGCAGCUGCAGAAACAGUUUUUACUCUGUGGACUUUACUUAUGGAAUAUUGUCCAGUUUUGGACUAUAUAGCCUAACAACACAUAUAUCACUGUCAAAAGGAACAUCAAUAGCAAACAGUAGAGGGCAGCGAUACGCUAUUUUAGCAUCUAGUCUAAUUCAAAGAAGACAAAGAAAACAGACACUUUGUAUCCUCUGCAUCACACUAACAGUUAUAAACUCAUAUUGUAAAACCUUGAACAUGUAACAUCUGUGCUCAUUAUGUUUGACACUGGAUCAGAGUAGGGAGUAGCAUCAUCCUGGACAAGCUACAGUUCUUUUAUAAUUAGUUUGAUAGCUUUGAUGACAUCCAGCACUGCACCCCACUCACAUUCUGAUAUGUUUACCAGACUCCUUGUCUAUAAAAGAUAUGUGCACUUAAUAACCCACAUCAGUCUGUUGUGACUGUAUGCUGAUCAGGAAAGAGUCCAGACAGGUUUAGUAGAAACCUGGAGCUGCACUGAUGAGUCCACCUUAAAGAGAGUUCACUGUUAUCACAAUAGUGUGUGGAAGAAUGAUUACUGGGUUAUAAUAUUGUGUGAAGUAAGACUCAGAAAACACGCAUAGAAAACGUAGAUAAUUCCUCUGUUCUGAUUCCUUUCUGGGUUCACUAACAUUGAUUAGUUUUCUGAUAUUCUUAACGGGUGUACUUUGGAGAUUCAGUUGAAGACAUAACUUAAAUCUGUCUUUUAAUCUGCCAGAAUGGGUAGUGUUAACAGUAGAAAUCAAACAAAGGAUAGAUAUGAUAAUGUGGACCUGUCCGCUCCUAAAAUAAACUACAUGAGAGUGAACUAUAGUGAUUCAUCUGUGAAACAAAU